AAUCCACCCUAACUUUUUUUUGUAAGUGGUUUGGCAAAUAUACCUGCCACACAAUUCCAAGAACCAGCAAUUUGUCAGCAAGUCGGAAUCAGAGUAUUCUUACUUCUUGCCUUGAGAGGCUGCUUCUCAGCACAGGCAAAGCUGGAUAUAAAGACAGAAGGGUACGGAUAACUGGAGUGAGGAGUGGGAUGAUAAGGAGAUAAGCUGUCCUCAUUCGUCUAAACCUGAGUGUCAUUGCGGAGUCAACCACCACGUGCUGUACAUAAUCUGCUCCCUUUGUGGGGACGAUGAGAAGUUUCUGGAACCAGCGUGAAGCAAGGACAAUCCCCAGGGCAGAAUGACUAAGCCACCAGGAAUUCAUUGUGGGGACGGUGAGAAGUUUCUGGAACCAGUGUAAAGCAAGGACAAUCCCUAGGGCAGAAUGACUAAGCCACCAGGAAUUCAUUGUGGGGACGGUGAGAAGUUUCUGGAACCAGUGUGAAGCAAGGACAAUCCCCAGGGCAGAAUGACUAAGCCACCAGGAAUUCAUUGUGGGGGCCGUGAGAAGUUUCUGGAACCAGUGUGAAGCAAGGACAAUCCCCAGGGCAGAAUGACUAAGCCACCAGGAAUUCAUUGUGGGACGGUGAGAAGUUUCUGGAACCAGUGUGAAGCAAGGACAAUCCCCAGGGCAGAAUGACUAAGCCACCAGGAAUUCAUUGUGGGGGUGAUGAGAAGUUUCUGGAACCACUGUGAAGCAAGGACAAUCCCCAGGGCAGAAUGACUAAGCCACCAGGAAUUCAUUGUGGGGGCCGUGAGGAGUUUCUGGAACCAGUGUGAAGCAAGGACAAUCCCCAGGGCAGAAUGACUAAGCCACCAGGAAUUGAGCCUAACAAAUAUUUAAGUAUACCCUACAGUAUUGUUAAACGAACAUACCUAGGACAGGUGCGGUGGCUCAAGCCUGUAAUUCCAGCACUUUGGGAGGCCAAGGCGGGCGGAUCACGAGGUCAGGAGUUCGAGACCGGCCUGGCCAACAUGAUGAAACCCCGUCUCUACUAAAAAUACAAAAAUUAGCUGGGGUGGGCGGAUCACCUGAGGUCAGCAGUUCGAGACCAGCCUGGCCAACGUGGCAAAACCGCAUUUCUACUAAAAAGACAAAAAUUAUCUGGACAUGGUGGUGGGAGCCCAUAGUCCCACCUACUCGGGAGGCUGAGUCAGGAGAAUCACUUGAACCCAGGAGGCAGAGGUUGCAGUGAGCAGAGAUUGCACCACUGCACUCCAGCCUCGGUGACAGAGCGAGACUCCGCCUGAAAAAAAAAAAAAAGUAAGCAGUGCUGCUGAUUUCCACAAUCAAUAUGACAUUAUUCUGACCCAUGGGGAAACAUGGCAGGAAACCUCAUCCCGAAGCUUUUCCCAGGAACCACAGCCCUGAGCCAUCUGAGAAGGACAGAGCACUGGGAGGCAGGUACCUGAGGGUAUCGUGCAAAGCAGCCCUGUUCAAAAGACCGGGAUCCUGGGGACCAGGUGAAACUAACUUAACAUGAGAUCAUCCUGGAUUAGGGUGGGUCCUAAAUACAACGACAGAUGUCCUUCUAAAAGACAGAAGAGGAGACACAAACACAGAGGAGAAGGCCACGUGGAGAUGGAGGCAGAGACUGCAGUGACGCGGCCACAAGCCCAGGGAUGCCUGGAGCCCCCAGGAGCUGGGAGAGGCAGGAAGGACCCUCCCCUAGAUUCUCUGGAGGGAAGUGGAUACAAUUGUAGUGGACUGAACUGUGGUUCCCCCAAAAGACAUGUUCAUGUCCUAAUCCCCAGAACCUGUGAAUGGGACCUUAUUUGGAAAAGGAAUCUCUGCAGAUGUAAUUGAAUGAAAGAUUUCAAGAUAAGAUCCUCUGGAAUUAUCUGGGUGGGCCAUAAAUCCAAUGACAGGUGUCCUUGUAAGAGACAGAAGAGGAGACACAGACACAGAGGAGGAGGCCACGUGGAGAUGGAGGCAGAGACUGGAGUGAUGGGGCCACAAGCACAGGGACACCUGGAGCCCCCAGGAGCUGGGAGAGGCAGGAAGGACCCUCCCUGAGAGCCUCUGGAGGGAACUGGAUACAAGUGAAGUAGAUUCAACUGUGAUCCCCCAAAAAGGAACCCCAGGAAGCUCCUGAAGCAAUCCGCCCUUCCAUCUCUGUGUCUGGCAGACACUACUGUGUGAUUCCAGCGGGACAGCACCCACCACACUCACCUUCAUUGCUCAGGGGGAAGGAACAGUCAGUCAGCUGUGAGCCACCAGAAGCCAAGAGCUUUCUUCAUUUAGUUGCAUCAGCUCUUCCCGGCAGCGUAUGGAUUUCCUGCAAAAGUGGCCUCAUGAUUUACUUAGGGAAACAACUCCAAGGAUGGGAGAUGGCUGCUCUCCACAAUUUCCCUCCUGCAGCUAGGAAGGAAGUCAGGACUGUUCUGUGGGGCUACUAGGAAACAGCCCUUAAUCCGAAGUGGAAUCUAACAUCUGGGGAAUCAGCCGUAUCUGCCUGUGAGAAAGAAAGGGAGAAGCCAUUUUUAUCAGCCCAUGGUCCAAGGAAUUCGACAGCGAAGACCCAAGAUACUUCCAAGAGAAAGGCACGGUCCAUUGAAGAUUCUUUAUAACCCCGGAAAGGUAAAGAGAGUCUUUAUUUAUUGAAGAUGAAGAUCCCUGAGUAUUAUUUUUUAUGGCACCUCCGUGGGCUAUGAUGGAUGACCCUGAGGGUCUCUCCAGCCCUGAAGUGGGACGGAUUUUUCUACUGAACCACGGCAACACUGAAUAGGAGGUUGUCUCUUACCUCUGUCUGUUGAUUUUCACUGUUUCCUUUCUCUUUGUGUUUUAAAAUUUUUGUCUUUUGUGGGUACAUGGUAGGUGUAUAUAUUUAUGUAUAUGUUGUGUGGAUAUAUAGUAGCUGUAUAUAUUUAGGGUGCAUGAGAUUUUAUUAUUAUUAUUAUUAUGCUUUAAGUUCUGGGGUACAUGGGCAGAACGUGCAGGUUUGUUACACAGGUAUACAUGUGCCAUGGUGGUUUGCUGCACCCAUCAACCUGUCAUCUACAUUAGGUAUUUCUCCUAAUGCUUUCCCUCCCCUAUCCCCCCACCCCCCGACAGGCCCUGGUGUGUGAUGUUCCCCUCCCUGUGUCCAUGUGUUCUCAUUGUUCAACUCCCAUUUUUCACACCCACACUGGGUGUGUCUGCGAGGGUGUUUUGGGAAGAGAUGAGCAUUUGAAUAGGUAGACUGAGUAAAGACCACCCUCACCAAUGGGGAUGGGUACUGUCCUCUCCACUGAGGGAUUUGCAGAGAAUGAAAAUGCAGAUGAAGGGAGACUAUAUUCUCUUUUCCUUACCUGGAACCGGGACCUCCAGCUUCUCAUGCUCUUGGACAUUGGUGCUCCCAGUGUUUGGGCCUUGACCUCCGUUUUUGUAUACAUCAGAUAUCACACACAAUCAACAUGGCAUAAUUCAUGUUCAAUGCACCGUGCAGAGAGGAUGUUUUGAUACAAGCAUGCAAUGCUAUGAAGCAUUGCAUCACAUCGUGGAGAAUGGAGCUUGCAUGCCCUCAAGCAUUUAUCCUUUGUGUUACAAACAAUCCAAUUAUACUCUAAUAUGAUUUGGCUGUGUCCCUACUCAAAUCUCAUCUUGAAUUGUAUCUCCCAUGAUUCCUAUGUAUUGUGGUGUCCCCAACCAAAUCUCAUCUUGAAUUGCAUCUCCCAUGAUUCCCAUGUGUUGUGGUGUCCCCACCCAAAUCUCAUCUUGAAUUGUAUCUCCCAUGAUUCCCGUGUGUUGUGGUGUCCACACCCAAAUCUCAUCUUGAAUUGUAGCUCCCAUGAUUCCCAUGUGUUGUGGGAGGGACUGGGUGGGAGAUAAAUGAAUCAUGGGGCUGGUUUCCCCCAGACUGUUCUGGAGGUCGUGAAUAAGUCUCAUGAGAUCUGAUGGUUUUAUCAGGGGAAACUGCUUUCACUGGGCUCUCAUUGUCUUCUGCCUGCCACCAUGUAAGACGUGCCUUUCUCCUUCCACCAUGACUGUGAGGCCUUCCCAGCCAUGUGGAACUGUGAGUCCAUGGAACCUCAUUUUCUUUAUAAAUUUCCCAGUCUCGGGUAUGUCUCUUUUUUUAAAUAAAUUACCCAAUCUAGGGUAUGCUUUUUUUUUUUUUUUUUUUUUGAGACCAAGUCUUACUCUGUUGCCCAGCCUGGACUGCAGUGGUGCAAUCUCAGCUCACUGCCACCUCUGCCACCCAUGUUCAAGUGAUUCUGCAGCCUCAGCCUCAUGAUUAGCUGGGAUAACAGGCACGGGCCACUACACCCAGCUAAUUUUUGUAUUUUUAGUAGAGAUGGGGUUUCACCAUGUUGGCUAGGCUGGUCUCAAACUCCUGACCUCAGGUGAUCCUCCCACCUCAGCCUCCCAAAGUGCUGGGAUUACAGGAGUGAGUCACCAUGCC